rnacentral:tRNA from 1 species
GGGCGGAUAGUUCAGUGGGAGAACGCCCGCCUCACACGCGGGAGGUCGGAGGUUCGAACCCUCCUCCGCCCAUCA